rfam:Stegodyphus mimosarum contig119439, whole genome shotgun sequence.
GCCUUCGUGGUGUAGUGGUCAGCACCCUCGACGCGUAACGGAGAGGUCCGUGGUUCGAUUCCCGGCGAAGGCG